UGGGGAAUAUUGGGCAAUGGGGGAAACCCUUACCCAGCAACGCCGCGUGAGAGAAGAAGGUUUUCGGAUUGUAAAUCUCUGUCCUUGGGGGCGAAGGAAGUGACGGUACCCAGGGAGGAAGCCCCGGCUAACUACGUGCCAGCAGCCGCGGUAAUACGUAGGGGGCGAGCGUUGUCCGGAAUUAUUGGGCGUAAAGGGCGUGUAGACGGUCAUAUAAGUUACAGGUGAAAGCCCAUUUUUCAAGGAUGGAACUGCCUGUAAGACUGUAAGACUUGAGUGCAGGAGAGGGAAGCGGAAUUCCAAGUGUAGCGGUGAAAUGCGUAGAUAUUUGGAGGAACACCAGUGGCGAAGGCGGCUUUCUGGACUGCAACUGACGUUGAGGCGCGAAAGCGUGGGGAGCGAACAG
rnacentral:rRNA from 1 species